rnacentral:rRNA from 1 species
AGAGUUUGAUCAUGGCUCAGAUUGAACGCUGGCGGCAGGCCUAACACAUGCAAGUCGAGCGGUAGCACAGAGAGCUUGCUCUCGGGUGACGAGCGGCGGACGGGUGAGUAAUGUCUGGGAAACUGCCUGAUGGAGGGGGAUAACUACUGGAAACGGUAGCUAAUACCGCAUAACGUCGCAAGACCAAAGUGGGGGACCUUCGGGCCUCAUGCCAUCAGAUGUGCCCAGAUGGGAUUAGCUAGUAGGUGGGGUAACGGCUCACCUAGGCGACGAUCCCUAGCUGGUCUGAGAGGAUGACCAGCCACACUGGAACUGAGACACGGUCCAGACUCCUACGGGAGGCAGCAGUGGGGAAUAUUGCACAAUGGGCGCAAGCCUGAUGCAGCCAUGCCGCGUGUGUGAAGAAGGCCUUCGGGUUGUAAAGCACUUUCAGCGGGGAGGAAGGCGGUGAGGUUAAUAACCUCAUCGAUUGACGUUACCCGCAGAAGAAGCACCGGCUAACUCCGUGCCAGCAGCCGCGGUAAUACGGAGGGUGCAAGCGUUAAUCGGAAUUACUGGGCGUAAAGCGCACGCAGGCGGUCUGUCAAGUCGGAUGUGAAAUCCCCGGGCUCAACCUGGGAACUGCAUUCGAAACUGGCAGGCUAGAGUCUUGUAGAGGGGGGUAGAAUUCCAGGUGUAGCGGUGAAAUGCGUAGAGAUCUGGAGGAAUACCGGUGGCGAAGGCGGCCCCCUGGACAAAGACUGACGCUCAGGUGCGAAAGCGUGGGGAGCAAACAGGAUUAGAUACCCUGGUAGUCCACGCUGUAAACGAUGUCGAUUUGGAGGUUGUGCCCUUGAGGCGUGGCUUCCGGAGCUAACGCGUUAAAUCGACCGCCUGGGGAGUACGGCCGCAAGGUUAAAACUCAAAUGAAUUGACGGGGGCCCGCACAAGCGGUGGAGCAUGUGGUUUAAUUCGAUGCAACGCGAAGAACCUUACCUGGUCUUGACAUCCACAGAACUU